CUGGGGAAUAUUUUAAGAAUAAAGAUAGCAAUACACACAUUUUCUAUCAAUAAAUGAAUGAAGUUUAUGCCCUUGAAGUCCUAGUCAUGGCAGGGGUCAAGGCGGGAGAAGUCCACUAGAAGCUAAAUGAUUAGAGUAAAAAAAAUAUUUAUAAAAUGAUUCAUAGGCACAUGCAUGCUCAGUUUUACUGACUGACCAACUGUAUUUUUUUCCUUCAACAAGUUUGAACACACACAAAUUUUUUGGUGUGGCCUAAGCUUUUAAUUUGGUAUGUAUAUUGUCAAUGAAAGGGUAGAUUAUAACUGUACCAAGGGUAUAAUAUUUGCUAAACAAUCCAAUGGACAAUGAAAGUAAUAAAUAUUGGAAAUAACUCACAGUCUAUUUAACCUGAUGAGCUUAAAUAUGCAUUUAAAAAAAAAAACAUAACUAAAUUUCUAUCACAGCCUACAAAAAAUCUAUUGCAC
rnacentral:lncRNA from 1 species